CCUGUUUAUCAAAAACAUUUCUUUCUACUUAGAAAGUAGGCUCUGCUCAAUGAAUUAAAUAGCCGCAGUAUUUUAACUGUGCUAAGGUAGCGUGAUAAUUUGUUUUAUAAUUGAGAACUAGAAUGAAUGAGUUAAUGAUCAAGUUAUUUUUCUCCCGGAGAAUAAGAAUUUUAUAUUUAAGUUAAAAAGCUUAACUCCCCGGGAAGACGAUAAGACCCUAUAAAACUUUUAUUAUAAAAAAAUAUAAAGAUGAGAAGUAGACAUGAUUAUUAAUUUAGCUGGGGCGGUUUUAAAAAGACACUUAUAAAAAUAACAACUUUCUUGAGUUUCAGGAUCUUGCUAGGAUUUGGAUCAAGUUACUUUAGGGAUAACAGCGUAAUAUUCUUAAAGAGAACCUAUUGACAAAAGAGACUUACGACCUCGAUGUUGAAUUGAGAGGCCUAAAUAAAGUAAAAAUUUUUCUAGGAGGUCUGUUCGACCUUUAAAUUCUCGCGUGAUCUGAGUCAGACCG
rnacentral:rRNA from 1 species